rnacentral:misc_RNA from 1 species
GCAGGAUCAACCAGGUAGCAUUCCUCACGGACAUCGGCACGCACGGCGCUAGGCCGGAACGGAACCGAAGUCGUUCGAAAUAGGCCUUGAGGCCAUUUUUGUAGACAAAUAGGAGCCGAUGACUCCGUGCCCUCAUCGUUUUCUGCAUCCCAGCGCCCGAGCGAAAAUUCAUGGACCACGAAACUGACACGAAACGUGCAGAACGUGAGUCACGAAUCCCGUUUCGAGUUUCACCCGUAGCCGCACCGAGUUAACGGGCGACCUAAGGCGAACAGCUAGAGAUUGACAACCGAAUUCCAUCGAGUAGGUACAAAACACAGGAAACCGACAUGCGACAGCACUACAUUGCGCAAACAAUGAAGAGGAUAGCACGGUUGGACGUCGCCGCUCGAGGCAGGGAUCCAACCAAACCGUGCUAGC